rnacentral:rRNA from 1 species
GAUGAACGCUGGCGGCGUGCCUAAUACAUGCAAGUCGAGCGAACAGACGAGGCUUUCACUGUACUGACGUGACCGACGGGUGGGUGAGUCGUAGGUGGUUUACCUACCUCUUCGACUUGGGUAACGUCGAGAGACCGUAGUUCAUACCAGGUAAUAUAUUUAAUGGGAUGGUUCAAUAGUUUUAUAGGUUUUGGCUGUCCCCUCUGCCUAGCUCCGCGCCGCAUUAGCUAGUUGGUAGGGUAACGGCUUACCAUGGCGACGAUGCGUAGCCGACCUGAGAGGGGGAACGGCCACACUGGAACUGAGACGCGGUCCAGAGUCCUACGGGAGGCAGCAGCAGGGACUCUUCGCAGAUGGGCGAAAGCCUGCAGGAGCAACGCCGGGUGGGUGAUGAGGGUCUUCGGAGCGUAUAACUCUGUUAUUAGGGAAGAAUACAUGUGUAAGUAACUAUGCUCGUCUUGACGGUACCUAAACAGAAAGCCACGGCUAACUACGUG